AUGUGGGCCCAUCUGUCUUAAGGGGAGUAAAUUAUUUUUUGAAAAAAGAAUCUUGGAUAAUGUUCCCUUAAAGUCAAAUGUCUUGU
rnacentral:pre_miRNA from 1 species